ACCUACGGGACGCAGCAGUGGGGAAUAUUGCACAAUGGGGGGAACCCUGAUGCAGCGACGCCGCGUGGGUGAGGAAGUACUUCGGUAUGUAAAGCCCUAUCAGCAGGGAAGAAAAUGACGGUACCUGACUAAGAAGCCCCGGCUAACUACGUGCCAGCAGCCGCGGUAAUACGUAGGGGGCAAGCGUUAUCCGGAUUUACUGGGUGUAAAGGGAGCGUAGACGGCUGUGCAAGUCUGGAGUGAAAGGCGGGGGCCCAACCCCCGGACUGCUCUGGAAACUGUAUGGCUGGAGUGCAGGAGAGGUA
rnacentral:rRNA from 1 species